rnacentral:rRNA from 1 species
GAAGGUGGCAAGCGUUGUUCGGAAUCACUGGGCUUAAAGCGCGCGUAGGCGGGAAAUACAAGUGUCAUGUGAAAUCCCUCGGCUUAACCGGGGAAUUGCUUGGCAAACUGUAUUUCUUGAGGCAAGUAGGGGUACAUGGAACUCUUGGUGGAGCGGUGGAAUGCGUAGAUAUCAAGAGGAACGCCAAUGGUGAAGACAGUGUACUGGGCUUGUCCUGACGCUGAGGUGCGAAAGCGUGGGGAGCGAACGGGAUUAGAUACCCCGGUAGUCCACGCCGUAAACGAUGUCUACUAGGUUGUGGAGGCUCUGACGCCCUCACGGCCGGAGCAAAAGUGUUAAGUAGACCGCCUGGUGAGUACGGCCGCAAGGCUA